AUGGAUGACCAAGUUUACUUAUUACUUUAUGAAGAUGAUGAUUCCUGCAUGUUGAUUGUGCUUCAAGGUCGAAGAGGAUGGGAGGAGGGGAAGUGCGCUCUAUAUUUUGUUAUGCACACCUUUCUAAACUAUACUUGUCUUCUUAACACAUGUUCAUUGUCCAGUAGAAGCUGUAGAUUUCAGCGUACAAUAAUUUCCAAAACGGUAGAAGGUGUUACUAAUAUGGUGAGUGAUUUAAGGGGAGGCAUGGGGAGAAGAGCAGUCCAAAUGGUGGAUGGAGCAUGUGACCUGUUGAUGUUAGUUUCCAUUUUCGGAAAGAACAAAUUUUCUAUAAUUUGA
rnacentral:rRNA from 1 species